rnacentral:rRNA from 1 species
GAGCGCCCCGCAAGGGGAGCGGCAGACGGGAGAGUAACACGUGGGAACGUACCCUUCAGUUCGGAACAACCCAGGGAAACUUGGGCUAAUACCGAAUACGUCCGUAAGGAGAAAGAUUUAUCGCUGAAGGAUCGGCCCGCGUCUGAUUAGCUAGUUGGUGAGGUAACGGCUCACCAAGGCUACGAUCAGUAGCUGGUCUGAGAGGAUGAUCAGCCUCACUGGGACUGAGACACGGCCCAGACUCCUACGGGAGGCAGCAGUGGGGAAUAUUGGACAAUGGGCGCAAGCCUGAUCCAGCCAUGCCGCGUGGAUGAUGAAGGCCCUAGGGUUGUAAAGUCCUUUCGGCGGGGAAGAUAAUGACGGUACCCGCAGAAGAAGCCCCGGCUAACUUCGUGCCAGCAGCCGCGGUAAUACGAAGGGGGCUAGCGUUGCUCGGAAUCACUGGGCGUAAAGCGCACGUAGGCGGCUUUUUAAGUCAGGGGUGAAAUUCUGGAGCUCAACUCCAGAACUGCCUUUGAUACUGAGAGGCUUGAGUCCGGGAGAGGUGAGUGGAACUGCGAGUGUAGAGGUGAAAUUCGUAGAUAUUCGCAAGAACACCGGUGGCGAAGGCGGCUCACUGGCCCGGUACUGACGCUGAGGUGCGAAAGCGUGGGGA